GAUGAACGCUAGCUACAGGCUUAACACAUGCAAGUCGAGGGACCGGCGCACGGGUGAGUAACACGUAUCCAACCUGCCCUUUACUCGGGGAUAGCCUUUCGAAAGAACGAUUAAUACCCGCUAUAAUGGACGGGGAUGCGUUCCAUUAGGUUGUUGGUAAGGUAACGGCCCACCAAGCCUUCGAUGGAUAGGGGUUCGGAGAGGAAGGUACCCCGCAAUGGAACUAAGACACAGUCCAAACUCGUACGGGAGGCAGCAGUGAGGGAUAAUGGGCAAUGGGCGCUAGCCUGAACCAGCCAAGUAGCGUAAAGGAUGAAGGCUUAUGAGUCGUAAACUUCUUUUAUAUAAGAAUAUGUAUUAUAUGAAUAAGGAUCGGCUAACUCCGUGCCAGCAGCCGCGGUAAUUC
rnacentral:rRNA from 1 species